rnacentral:rRNA from 1 species
UGGUGGAGUGAUUUGUCUGCUUAAUUGCGAUAACGAACGAGACCUCGGCCCUUAAAUAGCCCAGUUCGCGUUUGCGGGCUGCUGGCUUCUUAGGGGGACUAUCGGCUCAAGCCGAUGGAAGUACGUGGCAAUAACA